CACGGGGGGAGCAAGCGUUGUUCGGAUUCAUUGGGCGUAAAGGGCUCGUAGGUGGCUUUGUAAGUCGGAGGUGAAAUCCCACGGCUCAACCGUGGACACGCCUUCGAAACUGUGAAGCUUGAGGCUGGGAGAGGAGAUCGGAAUUCCAGGUGUAGCGGUGAAAUGCGUAGAUAUCUGGAAGAACACCGGUGGCGAAGGCGGUCAACUGGCCCUGAACUGACGCUCAGGCACGAAAGCGUGGGGAUCAAACAGG
rnacentral:rRNA from 1 species